rnacentral:snRNA from 1 species
AUCGCUUCUUGGCUUUUUGGCUAAGAUCAAGUGUAGUAUCUGUUCUUAUCAGUUUAAUAUCUGAUACGUCCUCUAUCCAAGGACAAUAUAUUAAAUGGAUUUUUGGAGCAGGAGAUAUGGAAUAGGAGCUUGCUCCGUCCACUCCACGCAUCGACCUGGUAUUGCAGUACUUCCAGGAACGAAAAGAAA